CCUACGGGGGGCUGCAGUGGGGAAUAUUGGACAAUGGGAGAAAUCCUGAUCCAGCAAUUCUGUGUGCAUGAUGACGGUCUUCGGAUUGUAAAGUGCUUUCGACAGGGAAGAAUAAAUUGACGGUACCUGUAUAAGAAGCGACGGCUAAAUACGUGCCAGCAGCCGCGGUAAUACGUAUGUCGCAAGCGUUAUCCGGAAUCACUGGGCAUAAAGGGCAUCUAGGCGGUUUGAAAAGUCAGUGGUGAAAGGUAUGGGCUCAACCCGUGCAUUGCCAUUGAAACUCUUAAACUAGAGUAUGGGAGAGGAGGGCGGAACUACAAGAGUAGCGGUGAAAUGCGUAGAUAUUUGUAGGAAUGCCAAUGACGAAGGUAGCUCUCUGGACCAAUACUGACGCUAAAGUGCGAAAGCUAGGGUAGCAAACAGGCUUAGAUACCCCGGUAGUC
rnacentral:rRNA from 1 species